rnacentral:rRNA from 1 species
AUACGUAGGGUGCAAGCGUUAAUCGGAAUUACUGGGCGUAACGCGUGCGCAGGCGGUUUUGUAAGAGAGAGGUGAAAUUCCCGGGCUCAACCUGGGGACAGCCUUUGUGACGGCAAGGCUAACGUACGGCAGAGGGGGAUGGAAUUCAGCGGGUAGCAGUGAAACUCGUAGAUAUGCGGAGGAACUCCGAUGGCGAAGGCAAUCCCCUUGGCCUGUACUGACGCUCAUGCACGAGAGCGUGGGGAGCAAACAGGAUUAGAUACCCUGGUAGUCCACGCCCUAGGCGAUGUCAACUGGUUGUUGGGUCUUCAUUGACUCAGUAACGAAGCUAACGCGUGAAGUUUACCGCCGGGGGAGUACGGCCGCAAGGUUGAAACUCAAAUGAAUUGACGGGG